rnacentral:rRNA from 1 species
CUAGGAGACGGGAAUGUACUUAGACUAAAAGCUCCGGCGCCUUAGGAUGAAUCUGCGGACUAUCAGGUAGUAGUCAGGAUAAAGACCUGACUAGCCAACGACGGAUACGGGUUGUGAGAGCAAUAACCCGGAGACGAUAUCUGAGACACGAUAUCGGGCCCUACGGGGCGCAGCAGGCGCGAAACCUUCACACUGUGCGAAAGCACGAUGAGGGGAUCCCAAGUGCUUGCACGUAAGUGUAAGCUGUUUCUUUGUUUAAAAUGCAUAGAGAGUAAGGGCUGGGUAAGACGGGUGCCAGCCGCCGCGGUAAUACCUGCAGCUCGAGUGGUGACCACUAUUAUUGGGCCUAAAACGUCCGUAGCCGGUUUGAUAAAUGCCUGGGCAAAUCGUAUAGCUCAACUAUACGAAUUCCGGGUAGACUGUCAAGCUUGAGACCGGGAGAAGCUAGAGGUACUCUUGGGGUAGAGGUGAAAUUCUGUAAUCCUGAGGGGACCACCAGUGGCGAAGGCGUCUAGCUAGAACGGGUUUGACGGUGAGGGACGAAGCCCUGGGGCGCGAACCGGAUUAGAUACCCGGGUAGUCCAGGGUGUAAACGCUGCUUGCUUGAUGUUAGUCGGGCUCCGAGCCCAACUAGUGUCGGAGAGAAGUUGUUAAGCAAGCUGCCUGGGAAAUACGAUCGCAAGAUUGAAACUUAAAGGAAUUGGCGGGGGAGCACAGCAACGGGUGGAGCGUGCGGUUUAAUUGGAUUCAACGCCGGAAAGCUCACCGGAGGCGACGGUUACAUGAAAGUCAGGCUGAUGACCUUGCUCGAUUUUCCGAGAAGUGGUGCAUGGCCGCCGUCAGUUCGUACCGUAAGGCGUUCUGUUAAGUCAGACAACGAACGAGACCCUCAUCUUUAAUUGCAACCAGUAAGUCCGCUUAUUGAGCACAUUAAAGAAACCGCUGGCGAUAAGUCAGAGGAAGGCGAGGGCAACGGUAGGUCAGUAUGCCCUGAAAUCCUCCGGGCUACACGCGCGCUACAAAGGAUAGGACAAUAGGCUUCGACACCGAAAGGUGAAGGUAUCCUGAACCUAUUCGUAGUUCGGAUCGAGG